AGCAUAUCAAUAAGCGGAGGAAAAGAAACCAACAGGGAUUGCUUUAGUAACGGCGAGUGAAGCGGCAAUAGCUCAAAUUUGAAAUCUGGCGCUUGCGUCCGAGUUGUAAUUUGCAGAGGAUGAUUUUGGUUAGGUACCUUCCGAGUUCCUUGGAACAGGACGCCUUAGAGGGUGAGAGCCCCGUACGGUUGGAUGCCGAGCCUUUGUAAAUCUCCUUCGACGAGUCGAGUAGUUUGGGAAUGCUGCUCUAAAUGGGAGGUAAAUUUCUUCUAAAGCUAAAUACCGGCCAGAGACCGAUAGCGCACAAGUAGAGUGAUCGAAAGAUGAAAAGCACUUUGAAAAGAGGGUUAAAUAGCACGUGAAAUUGUUGAAAGGGAAGGAUUUAUGACCAGACUUUUUCUAGGAGGAUCAUCCGGUGUUCUCACCGGUGCACUUCUUCUAGUUUAGGCCAGCAUCGACUUUCGGCGGUGGAUAAAAGCUUUAGGAAUGUGACUCCUCUCGGGGAGUGUUAUAGCCUUUUGUAUAAUACACUGCUGGGGGUCGAGGUACGCGCUUCUGCAAGGAUGCUGGCGUAAUGGUUAUCAAUCACCCGUCUUGAAACACGGACCAAGGAGUCGAACAUUUGUGCAAGUGUUUGGGUGUUAAACCCUCACGCGUAAUGAAAGUGAACGGAGGUGAGAGCCCUUACGGGUGCAUCAUCGACCGAUCCUGAUGUUUUCGGAUGGAUUUGAGUAAGAGCAUAAAUGUUCGGACCCGAAAGAUGGUGAACUAUGCGUGGAUAGGGUGAAGCCAGAGGAAACUCUGGUGGAGGCUCGCAGCGGUUCUGACGUGCAAAUCGAUCGUCAAAUCUGCGCAUGGGGGCGAAAGACUAAUCGAACCAUCUAGUAGCUGGUUACCGCCGAAGUUUCCCUCAGGAUAGCAGUGUUGUCUUCAGUUUUAUGAGGUAAAGCGAAUGAUUAGGGACUCGGGGGCGCUUUUUAGCCUUCAUCCAUU
rnacentral:rRNA from 1 species